CAGCCAGGGACGGCGAUCAGCAGGCUUCUCCGGCGUCUGCAGCUUCCCUCCCCGGCCCUUGUCAAACUUUAUCAGAGAAAAGCAGCCGCCACCUCUGUCCAGUCCAGAGACAGCCGUCAGCGACCCGGAUGGAGCGGGAGGGGAAGGACUGGAGGACAGAAUUGUACCGUCCAAAUAAUUUGUCAUCAGUGGCCAACAAAUCAUAGGUUCCACUUUGGGCAUUUGGAAAGGACUCCUACAGUCAUUUACCUGUUCCUGAUUUCGAAGGAACUCAAGUGAUACUCAAUCAGACAUAAACUUGAAAAAUCACGUGUAAUGUGGCCCUUGACCAGUAUGUGGGGAUAUGUUCAUGCAUUUGAAAUGAUAACGUCAUUACUCCAGUUACUGCUCCUUUUUAUCAGAGAAAGUUUUCGAGCUGCUCUGUAUCUUCAUGUCAGUAACGAAUAAAACUUGUGUUUAUAAAAAAGACAACGCC
rnacentral:lncRNA from 1 species